UAGGGAAUCUUCGGCAAUGGACGAAAGUCUGACCGAGCAACGCCGCGUGAGUGAAGAAGGUUUUCGGAUCGUAAAACUCUGUUGUUAGAGAAGAACAAGGACGUUAGUAACUGAACGUCCCCUGACGGUAUCUAACCAGAAAGCCACGGCUAAUUACGUGCCAGCAGCCGCGGUAAUACGUAGGUGGCAAGCGUUGUCCGGAUUUAUUGGGCGUAAAGCGAGCGCAGGCGGUUUCUUAAGUCUGAUGUGAAAGCCCCCGGCUCAACCGGGGAGGGUCAUUGGAAACUGGGAGACUUGAGUGCAGAAGAGGCGAGUGGAAUUCCAUGUGUAGCGGUGAAAUGCGUAGAUAUAUGGAGGAACACCAGUGGCGAAGGCGGCUCUCUGGUCUGUAACUGACGCUGAGGCUCGAAAGCGUGGGGAGCAAACAGG
rnacentral:rRNA from 1 species